CACACGUGCUACAAUGGGAAGUACAACGAGUCGAUAGACCGCGAGGUCAUGCAAAUCUCUUAAAGCUUCUCUCAGUUCGGAUUGCAGGCUGCAACUCGCCUGCAUGAAGCCGGAAUCGCUAGUAAUCGCGGAUCAGCACGCCGCGGUGAAUACGUUCCCGGGCCUUGUACACACCGCCCGUCACACCACGAAGAGUUUUGUAACACCCGAAGUCGGUGG
rnacentral:rRNA from 1 species